UUCCCUCUUUCUCCUCUCGUCUCUGCAACUGCAAGGCCACUCUCAAUCCUCAUAUCCCCCAAAAGGGCAAAACCCAGUAAUUAAUUAAAACCCAAAAAGGAAAGAAAACGAAGAAGAGGGAAGAGGAGCUAGGAUUCAGUACAGCAAUGCCACACCUGCUCUUCAACGCCCAGCAGCCACCACCCACGCCACCCUUAUCCCAUCACCGCCGUCCACCGUUCCGCACCCAGAAUCCAACGGCGUGGAUUCACUCAGCAAGGCCCAUAAGCCUGCCUUCCUUGCAGCCCAAAAUUGGCUCUACGAUACGGUGCAUGGCGAACCCACGGAGAGUGAAGAUGGUGGCCAAGCAGAUACAAAGAGAGCUCUCCGACAUGCUCCUCACUGACAAGGUCUUGCAGUACGCUAUUCUCCCUGAAGUUUCUUUGGGAGCCGACCGGUACCUCUCGUCCCUCACCACCAUUAGUGAUGUUGAAGUCUCCGGCGAUUUGCAGGUGGUUAAGGUAUAUGUAUCUGUGUUUGGUGAUGAAAAAGGGAAGGAGCUUGCCAUUGCUGGUUUGAAGGCAAAAGCCAAGUAUGUCCGAAGCGAGUUGGGGAAGCGUAUGAAGUUGCGGCUAACUCCUGAGAUACGAUUUAUAGAAGAUGAGUCACUAGAGAGAGGAAGCAGGGUAAUUGCAAUAUUGGACAAGAUAAAGAAUGAGAAAAAGACCAAAGACAUCGAAGAUGAAGAGCAAUUUGAUUCACCUGUUGUGUCUCAAGAGGACGGAGAGUGGGAGGGUGAUGACCCAGAUGAAGACAUUAUAUACGUAAACUAGUCGCUCCUUAGUUGCUCGACAAUGAGGCCUUUGUGAACUGGAGUAUGGGCCGUAUGGCUAUACUUGUUCACAGGUUAGUUUAUCUUCAUGAAUUCAGAGUUAGCUUUCCUCAUACAAAAAGAUAGUCAAAUAUCUACAUAACAGUUGUUUUUUGGUGUAAUAUAGUGCAUUUGAAAUGUAGGAUUGCUGUAAUGAAACCAUUGAAUGGAUUAAAGAGGGUGAAGACUUCAGUCAUUCGCUAAGCUGGACAGAAGCAAUACACUGCAUGCAUCCCCGGCAUCUGAAUUACUUGACAUCAACCAUGUCAUUCCAUGUGAAAUUAACCCUUUGUUUUGCUGCUCAUAUGGAAUAGUUCGUGUUUUAUAUGAUCUUCUGAUUGACUUGUUUACAAUGAGUGCAAGCAUUUUGUUGCGAAGUGGUGUUCAUAGCAUAUGAAAGUUGACAGUACCCAUGUAAAAUGUUUGUCCCCGUCCUCCUAUGCCUUACACGGUUUGUUGCUAAUUUGUAAACUAAGAUUUAAAUUUCUGAUUGACUCAACUCAUUAAGUUGGGAUCAGAUACUCCUGAGCACUAA